ensembl:lncRNA
AAUAAGCUGUACGUUUUACGUCCAAUGGAUGCAUGAUCCGAUUAGUCGACUAAUCGCAAAAAUAAUCGGUGACUAGUCGACUAUCAAAAUAAUUGUUUGUGGCAGCCCUAGUGGACUUUGAUUCCAAGUUAAUACUAGCUAGUGUUUCUCACUGGUUUUUGGGCGGUGGAGUAAAAGGGAUUGGUUGGUGGCUGUUUCUAAUGUUAGCCUUGUCUUUGCUUUCUUACAGGCAGGAUAAAGACACGGUGAUAAAUGAGUGUGUGGGCCGUCUGCUGAGGUCCAAGAGCUCAGGACACUCAGACGGGGGUGUCGCAGCAGGAGUCACCGUGCUCCACAAUCCUCUGCUGUUCUGAGAUGUCACACUCCUGCCUGCACAUACAAACCACAGUGAAGUCAAAGUUCCACCUGCACCUCCACCUGUUCUUGCAACAGCAUGAACACUGACAGAGCUUGAAAAACUCCAUGCCCUUGGCUACAAACCACUGCUGCAUCUUGGGAAGAAGAGCAAAAAAGGAGAAAUCGGAUGUGAAAUAUUAACCCCUGGCUGCAGACUAACAGCCUAUGUCCAGGAAUCCCUUCAGAGGAUGGGCUGAUGUUAUGAGUACCUUUGUAAAGCUUAUUGCACUCCACCUCACACCCUGUGACCCACCGGAGGAUGCCAAC